rnacentral:rRNA from 1 species
UACAGAGGGUGCAAGCGUUAAUCGGAAUUACUGGGCGUAAAGCGUGCGCAGACGGUUGCGUAAGUCAGAUGUGAAAGCCCCGGGCUCAACCUGGGAAUUGCAUUUGAGACUGCGUGGCUAGGGUGCGGAAGAGGGAAGCGGAAUUUCCGGUGUAGCGGUGAAAUGCGUAGAUAUCGGAAGGAACACCAGUGGCGAAGGCGGCUUCCUGGGCCAGCACCGACGUUCAGGCACGAAAGCGUGGGGAGCAAACAGG